AAAGGUAGAGGUUGCGUGAUUCAUCAGUAGCAUUUUGGAUGCGGCAGAGGCAGAAGAAAGAAUGUGAAAGGGGAGAACGCCGAAAGAGUAUAAGUUCUGCAAUUAUAUUUUUGGGCAUAGAGUGAAGAAUUCUAUGACUCUCAUCUAAUCUCAGAUGGAGGCGCUAUC
rnacentral:ncRNA from 1 species